rnacentral:rRNA from 1 species
UACGGGGGGGGCUAGCGUUGUCCGGAAUCAUUGGGCGUAAAGAGCGUGUAGGCGGCCUGGUAAGUCCGCUGUGAAAGUCCAGGGCUCAACCCUGGAAUGCCGGUGGAAACUGUCAGGCUCGAGUCCGGAAGAGGCGAGUGGAAUUCCUGGUGUAGCGGUGAAAUGCGCAGAUAUCAGGAGGAACACCAAUGGCGAAGGCAGCUCGCUGGGACGGUACUGACGCUGAGACGCGAAAGCGUGGGGAGCAAACAGG